AGGUAAGCGACAUAGCGGUUUGAGUAUUGGACUAUGACUCUGGAGACCAGGGUUCGAAUCCCUGCUCAGCCA